GGAGAUCUACGCUCCGGCCUGGGCGGUGCCUAUCCUGAUUGGCUGAGCCUCGGCGACCGGUGGCCCGCCGGCAAUGGCGGGGUUUUCGGUUUUCAAACUCGCCAGGCGGGCGGGAAAGACAAGCCGGUUUAACUGACCCGCGGGAGAAAGGCGCCCAACUGGAGAGCGGGCCAGCCAAGUGGUUCCUGCUGCGGGACCCCCACCAUUUAGGCUGGGAGAAGACAGGAAUUAAAUCUUUUCAGAAUGGUAAACUCUGUGGAGGUGAUAAAACGGAGCCUUCGCAUAUGCCGUCCCCUCUGCCCGGGACAUUCUUGCCACUCAGGCCUCAGCUCCAAUAUCACCUCCUCAGUGAAGCCACCACCAUCCCUCCUGCCCCCUUGAGUAUCAAGCUCCCGGCCUUACCUUGCCCUUGACGUCGAGGAUGAAGACAGCCGAGGCGGACAUUGUGGCGGCCGGCGGACCUGGGAGGCGGGGAGGGAGCGCCGGGAGGCGACGGCGGCGCCGCUUCCUUCUUCCUGCGGAAGCGCCGGCGCGCAGGUGAGAGCCCAGGACCUGAGGGGGAAGACAUUUCCUGUCUUCUCACAUUGGAAGAAGCAGAGGCACAGAGAGGUGAAGCCACUUGCCCAACGUCACACAGCUGUGAAGAAUUUGAACCUGAGUCCUGGCAUUCAAGAGCCCAAUCCCAACCCACUCCCAACUGCUCCGCCAUAUUGCCAGAUACAAGUAUUGCUACUAAAUGGGACGCCUGUGUGGCUCAGUCGGUUGAGUGUUCGACUCUUGAUUCUGGCUCCAGUCAUGAUCUCACGGUUCAUGAGUUCAAGCCCCGCAUUGAACUCUGUGCUGACCUCUAGGAGCCUGUUUGGGAUUUUUUUUCUCUCUCUCUCUCUCUCUGCCUCUCCCCCACUCUCUCUCAAAAUAAGUAAAUAAACUUAAAACAAACAAACAGGUAUUGCCACUACUAACAACAGCUCUCGCUUGUGUGGUGCUCGCUAUACCCAGGCCCUGCCCUCCAUGUCCUCCGUGUGGGAAUCCUUCUAGCAACAAUUAGAAACAAUGCCCUGAGUUGUGGAGGUCUAUUCCAUUCCACAGAUGGGAAAGCUGAGGCACCUAACCGCGCGGGAUACCACGCCUGCCCCUUUGUGCUUUCUCAGCCUCUUUCUCAAGCAGCAAGAAGGUCUCCUCUUCAAGGAGUCCUCUCUGAUCUUCCGAUCCACGUCUAGGUCACGUCUGUUCUCUGGGCUCUCUCAAAUGUCCCAUGCUUCCCUGUCACAGCUGUGUUGCACCGUGUUUUUAAAAAUCUAUUAAAAAAAAAAAAACCCUUUUAUUAUCA